rnacentral:rRNA from 2 species
GAGUUUGCUCCUGGCUCAGAACGUACGCUGGCGGCACGCCUAACACAUGCAAGUCGAACGAAGUAGCAAUACUUAGUGGCAGACGGGUGAGUAACAUGUAGGUAUCUGCCCUUUGGCCUGGAAUAACACGAGGAAACUUGUGCUAAUACCGGAUAAGUCUUUACGGAGAAAGCUUUAUGCACCAUUGGAUGAGCCUGCACUUGAUUAGUUUGUUGGUGGGGUAAUGGCCUACCAAGACUGUGAUCAAUAGCUGAUUUGAGAGGAUGAUCAGCCACAUUGGGACUGAGACACGGCCCAAACUCCUACGGGAGGCAGCAGUGGGGAAUCUUGCACAAUGGAGGAAACUCUGAUGCAGCGAUGCCGCGUGAGUGAAGAAGGCCUUUGGGUUGUAAAGCUCUUUCGUCGGGGAAGAAAAUGACUGUACCCGAAUAAGAAGGUCCGGCUAACUUCGUGCCAGCAGCCGCGGUAAUACGAAGGGACCUAGCGUAGUUCGGAAUUACUGGGCUUAAAGAGUUCGUAGGUGGUUGAAAAAGUUGGUGGUGAAAUCCCAGAGCUUAACUCUGGAACUGCCAUCAAAACUUUUCAGCUAGAGUAUGAUAGAGGAAAGCAGAAUUUCUAGUGUAGAGGUGAAAUUCGUAGAUAUUAGAAAGAAUACCAAUUGCGAAGGCAGCUUUCUGGAUCAUUACUGACACUGAGGAACGAAAGCAUGGGUAGCGAAGAGGAUUAGAUACCCUCGUAGUCCAUGCCGUAAACGAUGUGUGUUAGACGUUGGAAAUUUAUUUUCAGUGUCGCAGCGAAAGCGAUAAACACACCGCCUGGGGAGUACGACCGCAAGGUUAAAACUCAAAUGAAUUGACGGGGACCCGCACAAGUAGUGGAGCAUGUGGUUUAAUUCGAAGAUACGCGCAGAACCUUACCAACACUUGACAUGUUCGUCGCGACUUUAAGAGAUUAAAGUUUUCGGUUCGGCCGGACGAAACACAGGUGCUGCAUGGCUGUCGUCAGCUCGUGUCGUGAGAUGUUGGGUUAAGUCCCGCAACGAGCGCAACCCUCACUUUUAGUUGCCAUCAUUAAGUUGGGCACUCUGAAAGAACUGCCAGUGAUAAGCUGGAGGAAGGUGGGGAUGACGUCAAGUCCUCAUGGCCCUUACGUGUUGGGCUACACACGUGCUACAAUGGUAUCUACAACAGGAAGCAAGACGGCGACGUUAAGCAAAUCCUUAAAAGAUACCUCAGUUCGGAUUGCACUCUGCAACUCGAGUGCAUGAAGCUGGAAUUACUAGUAAUCGUGGAUCAGCGUGCCACGGUGAAUGCGUUCCCGGGUCUUGUACACACCGCCCGUCACACCAUGGGAGUUGGUUCUACCUUAAGGCAAGGCAUAAAACCCUUGACCACGGUAUAGUCAGCGACUGGGGUGAAGUCGUAACAAGGUA